UUGGAGGCCAGCCGCAGAACUAAAAGAAGACCCCCCCUGGAGAUCGUCUUCUUCGAACCCCCUGCCCCUAGCGUUGCUUCUUCUUCCUCUACACGCCCUAACCUUCAGGUCCUUCAUAACACACAGACCAUGAAGCUUCAGCCGUUUUCCAUGGAUGGAAGCUAGGCUUCUUCAUCUUCCAAAAACAAAAACACCAACAGACCCCAAACUCUCUUCACCAUUCACUUGCAGCCGCUAGGAACCCUAGGAGACCCCUCACAGAGACCUGAAGCAUAGCUUUCACCCUCAUAAGGAACGACCCCUCAUUUUCUUCUUCAACCAAAAGAAGACUUGAACCCUAAGCCACUAACCUCCAGAACCACGACAACCCUGAACUUCUUCAUCUUCAACACACACGGCACACAACCUAGAUACCCUAAACACCAUAAGAGAGAACUUAACACAGACAGUAGCUGGACGUCUUCUUCAAGAGAGAGCCGCAGGAGACCCAUCGUCUCUUUGCUUGGAAGAAAACAGAAAGCUGCCUCUUUCUCUUUAAUCGCUUACUCUUCGAAUCUCCUCUCUAUUGUCUUCCUUCACCUCCAAUCAACUCCUUAGGUCACAGAAAAAUGGCGGAGCAGGAGUCGUUUGCUUUCCAUGCUGAGAUCAACCAACUGUAGAGUCUUAUCAUCAACACUUUCUAUAUUAACAAAGAAAUCUUUCUCCGUGAACUCUUCAGUAACCCUUACGAUGUGCUAGACGAGAUCCUCUUUGAUAGUUUGAUUGACAAGACUCCGAGAACGAGCUGAAAAACAACAUCGACAAAAGUGGAGUUCGAAAUUUCCUUUGAGGGCUCCAGUUGCCGGCUUUUACUUGUAUUUCCAAACAGAGAUCGGUAAAGACCGUUGAAGGUGUGAAUUUACUUACCGGAGAUUGAGUAUGACAGAUACCCCGGGACCAUCCAGUCAGGACAGUUGCAUCCAGGAGUUGCUUAAGGAGAUUUUUUUAUGUUUUGAGUCUGUUUAUUUUUAUGUGUUAUCCUGUAAUUUAUAGUCAUGUUCAGUAGUACUGAUUCUUUUAGUUGGUGUCAGAGUUUGUUGUAGUGUAGUUGAGUUUGUCAAGUCUUCCGUUAUUGUAUUUCCUGUUUUAUUUUUGAAAAUAAAAAAGAGUUGUAAAUGAAAAAUCCAAAAAAAAGGAUUUUUAUUUUUUGUUUAA